UCCCAAUUGCACACUAUAAUGCAAUUGGCAUGCUAUUUGCAUUUUGCAUAAUAAAAGUAGGAUAACUGUCUAAUUGGGUGAUUGGAAAACCUUUGAGGAAAUCAAAGGUAGAGUAGCUCACCUAACAGAAUGAGCAAAAAUGUUUAUUUCCAUUUUGGUACAUUAUUCACAUUUAGUUUUCAAAUUUUAUUUCUAUAAUCUUGCAUCACGAAACUUGAUCAGUCAUAGAGCAUAG
rnacentral:lncRNA from 1 species